GCUCCCGUAGUCUAGCCCGGUCAAGGAUAGCGGCCUCUCACGCCGCGGACUCGGGUUCAAAUCCCGACGGGAGCA
rnacentral:tRNA from 1 species